rnacentral:lncRNA from 7 species
GUCUUUCUAAAAUAGCUGUAACAAUAGAAAGUCAUUGGUGCAGAACUCUGCAGCAGCGCAGAAGGAGUCUGUUUAACUGUGUUGCUGUGUGGAAGUAUAAAUCAGCAGUGAACCCAUGAGUUACAGAAUUAGGAGAGGUGUGCUGGCAGUUUUCAUAUGUUGCCUUCAAAGUCAGUAACAGGAGAGCAUUUCCUCUUGGAGCUUGAUAGUUCAAGAACACAUCAAGAAUUCUCAUGAAAAAAAAGUAUGGGUAGACAUAUGCAAUAUAUUUCCAGGAUGAUGGCUGCUUUUUUAUUGGCAGUAAUGAAGAAAUUGUAGACUUACCACGCAUACACUAGAAUAUAGGAUAUACAAACAGUUUAAUCUUCAGUGUUAUGAUCAUCUUAAUCAGUCCUGGGAUUAUAAUGAACUAAGGUUUGUGAAAGUUUUUUUUCCCAUUCUCAUAUGUGGUGUAACAGUAUCAAUGGACAGAGCUUGCUGAGUCUUAGAUGUCCAUUUUUAGAACUUAGGCAAGUUUAAAUGCAUGUAAAAUGAAAUUUUAGAGGUAGCAAUGCAGGGGGGGAAAAAAAAGUACAUUUUUCUUUAACCAAGUAACAUUUCUAUUGUUAUUCUAGCACUGGCUUUUGUUUAAGUGGCAAAUAAACUUAUAUCUCACUUUGUAUAUUUUCACACUC